CUAAAUAUAGUGAAAACAGGUGAUCCUGUUCUUACGGCAUAUUUGGAUCUCAAAAGAGAAGAUUGGUGCAAAUCCAACACGCUCCCGCCACUAUAUGCUAACGAUUAAGCUGCAUAUUGCAGACGAAUAUCUGCUUGUUGAACAUACUCAUC
rnacentral:ncRNA from 1 species